rnacentral:rRNA from 1 species
GUUUGGCAAGUUCGGAGAAUUUCCAGCACGGAACGGUAAUAUCGGCUCUGCUAGCUUCGAUCAGGAAAGCUACCAUAUGUCUGAUAGCGCCGGGUCCUAGUUGGAUAAAAGCAAUCUUCAAUUUUUUACAGAAUUCAACCAGAAGGAAAGGAAUUGGGAACCAAAGUCGAGCUUUGGUAAAGAAAUGAAAGUAGAGACACAUGAAUCCCUCAGGAGGAGUCCAAGGUUUUUCUCCAGACUUCGGAACCAGAAUAUCGAGAUCUUCUGGCUCAGAGGCGAAUAAACGGAGAGUUUCAAUGCCACUCUCUCUGAAGAUAGAAUCUCUGAAGUCUUCAGAAAGCUCCUCUUCUGCAAUCGCUUGGUCGGAGAUGGUCUCAGAGCUGUUGCUUUUGGAUGGGGAGUUUGCCGGGAUAGAUGAAGCAGGAUGUUCAGUUUCCUUCUCGGCGGAAGAAACACCUUCGAUAUCAAUCAGGAAUCAAUUGAUUGAUUUCCAGGGUUUUUCUGCUGAGAUACACUGGAUCUGGAAGAAGAAGAAGCCGAGGUGGAAUCAGUCUCGGAACUGGAGCUAGGAGAAUUUUGUUUAGUGAGCGACAUUUUGGGAUAAUUUCGGAGAAGAGGAAGAUUUAGAAGGAUUGCGUGAAUGAAAUGAUAUAACGGAUAGGGAUUUAGUCUCUUUAAAUAGUUGUUAGAGAGAGGCGGUUUGACAUUCGUGGAAGUUCAACCGACGUCUUCAAGAAGUGUUAAAAUUGUAUUCGGGGAAAUAAGGGUUCAAUGAAUGAAGCACGAUCUCCUUUUUUCCCACCAAAAGUCGCUUCGGAUGAUUCAAGAGUGUACGAUCGACACGUCAUCGGGAAAUGGAAGGGUCCUGUAAUACCCGAGAAUUUCGCACCAGAAAACCUUACAUUGUCCGGUCUUUUCCCGCCAAAUUGAAGAACGAAGAAUAUUGGAGAAUUAAAAUUAAGAUUAUUGAAGACAAAGAUCAACUGGUACCGAACUUCAUUUAUUGACAAGCUAUUUAGAAUGGAAAUUCGCCAACACUGCCUGAAGACAUCCUCGGACGAACUGGGGGGGGGACUUACUGUUGAUGGUGGGUUUCUACCCCUUAUCGAUAGUUUGGCAAUAAUUGGAGUUUGGUCCCUGCCGAGCUCUUCCCUGAUAACUUAUUAGGUUAUAAGUCCCGACAAUAGGAAUAUUAACCCUCGGCUCAGAUGACCGAAGGAUAACUCGGUGAAGAAUGACCGAAUUUAGUGUCCGAAGCGGGGGUAUAAACAACAUCAUCCUAGGCCGAAGUCUAAAGCUCGGACAGUAUAAGAUCAAAUCUUAUCACAGAUUCCCUAGUAUUGGAAAAAUAGAAAUAUUCCAUUUUUCCGAGAUUAGCCCAUGGGCUGACAAGACCGACUAUUAAGGAUAUAUAAAUACAUACCCCCCUCACUAAUAAUAUUCAUUCAGAAUCGGGGAGAAGAAUUACUAGAUCGCCUAGGUUUAAUACUUCUCUUUGAUAAAGUUAACUCGGCAUCCCGAGUUAACACCCUUGUAACACAAAUCAUUAAUAAAGAUAUUUCUUUCCGAGGUUUCUCUUUGUAUUCUUACUUUAUACGUUUCCAAAAACGAACCCCUCUAAUUAUAAAUAAUUAGAAGUUGAACCCAGUAUCAACAGCACGCGUCGGCGCUGUCCUCGAAAGUUGCUUUAUGGGGGCUAACGCCUGCCCAGUGCCGGAAGGUCAAGGAAGUUGGUGACCUGAUGACAGGGGAGCCAGCGACCGAAGCCCCGUUGAACGGAGGCAAUAACUAUAACGGUCCUAAGGUAGCAAAAUUCUUUGUCGGGUAAGUUUCAACCCGCACGAAAGGCGUAACGAUCUGGGCACUGUCUCGGAGAGAGGCUCGGUGAAAUAGACAUGUCUGUGAAGAUGCGGACUACCUGCACCUGGACAGAAAGACCCUAUGAAGCUUUACUGUUCCCAGGGAUUGGCUUUGGGGUUUUCCUGCGCAGCUUAGGUGGAAGGCGAAGAAGGCCUCCUUCCGGGGGGCCCGAGCCAUCAGUGAGAUACCACUCUGGAAGAGCUAGAAUUCUAACCUUGUGUCAGGACCUACGGGCGAAGGGACAGUCUCACGUAGACGGUUUCUAUGGGGCGUAGGCCUCCCAAAAGGUAACGGAGGCGUGUAAAGGUUUCCUCGGGCCGAACGGAGAUUGGCCCUCUAGUGCAAAGGCAGAAGGGAGCUUGACUGCAAGACCCACCGGUCGAGUGAUCCGACGGUGCCGAGUGGAAGGGCCGUCCCUCAACGGAUAAAAGUUACUCUAAGGAUAACAGGCUGAUCUUCCGCAAGAGCUCACAUCGACGGGAAGGUUGGGCACCUCGAUGUCGGCUCUUCGCCACCUAGGGCUGUAGUAUGUUCCAAGGUUGGGCUGUUCACCCAUUAAAGUGGUACGUGAGCUGGGUUCAGAACGUCGUGAGACAGUUCGGUCCAUAUCCGGUGUGGACGUUAGAGCAUUGAAAGGACGUUUCCCUAGUACGAGAGGACCGGGAAGGACGCACCUCUGGUGUACCAGUUAUCAUGUCCACGGUAAACGCUGGGUAGCUAAGUGCGGAACGGAUAACUGCUGAAAGCAUCUAAGUAGUAAGCCCAUCCCAAGAAGAGUGCUCUCCUAUUCCGACUUCCCCUGAGCCUCCGGUAGCACAGCCGAGACAGCAACGGGUUCUCUGCCCCUGCAGGGAUGGAGUGACAGAAGUUUUGAGAAUUCAAAAGAAGGUCACGGCGAGACGAGCCGUUUAUCAUUACGAUAGGUGUCAAGUGGAAGUGCAGUAAUGUAUGCAGCUGAGGCAUCCUAACAGACCGGUAGACUUGAAC